UACGGUCAAAUAAGACUAAAAACACUGGUUCUUGUUCAAUCACUAAGGUUAAGCAGCAUUGAGCCUGGUCAGUACUUAGAUGGGUGACCAAUUUGGAACACCAGGUACUGUAAG